rnacentral:rRNA from 1 species
GACGAACGCUGGCGGCGUGCUUAACACAUGCAAGUCGAACGGAAAGGCCCUGCUUUUGUGGGGUGCUCGAGUGGCGAACGGGUGAGUAACACGUGAGUAACCUGCCCUUGACUUUGGGAUAACUUCAGGAAACUGGGGCUAAUACCGGAUAGGAGCUCCUGCUGCAUGGUGGGGGCUGGAAAGUUUCGGCGGUAGGGGAUGGACUCGCGGCUUAUCAGCUUGUUGGUGGGGUAGUGGCUUACCAAGGCUUUGACGGGUAGCCGGCCUGAGAGCGUGACCGGCCACAUUGGGACUGAGAUACGGCCCAGAAUCCUACGGGAGGCAGCAGUGGGGAAUAUUGCACAAUGGGCGGAAGCCUGAUGCAGCAACGCCGCGUGCGGGAUGAAGGCCUUCGGGUUUUAAACCGCUUUCGCCUGUGACGAAGCGUGAGUGACGGUAAUGUGUAAAGAAGCACCGGCUAACUACGUG